AACGUAGGAGGCGAGCGUUAUCCGGAUUUACUGGGUGUAAAGCGCGUGCAGGCGGUUUGUUAAGUGGGAUGUGAAAGCUCCUGGCUCAACUGGGAGAGGUCGUUCCAGACUGGCAGACUGGAGAGCAGCAAGGGAAGGUGGAAUUCCGGGUGUAGUGGUGAAAUGCGUAGAUAUCCGGAGGAACACCAGUGGCGAAGGCGGCCUUCUGGGCUGCAUCUGACGCUCAGACGCGAAAGCUAGGGGAGCAAACGGG
rnacentral:rRNA from 1 species